UACGGAGGGUGCGAGCGUUAUUCGGAAUUACUGGGCGUAAAGGGCGCGUAGGCGGCAUGGCAAGUCAGGUGUGAAAGCCCUAGGCUUAACCUGGGAAUUGCAUCUGAAACUGCUGUGCUUGAGUCCUGGAGAGGAUAGUGGAAUUCCCAGUGUAGCGGUGAAAUGCGUAGAUAUUGGGAGGAACACCGGUGGCGAAGGCGGCUAUCUGGACAGUGACUGACGCUGAGGCGCGAAAGCUAGGGGAGCAAACGGG
rnacentral:rRNA from 1 species